rnacentral:lncRNA from 1 species
UUGCGUUUGGAGAGGAGCAUGAUGCCGUCAACCCCGGAACCUAGAAGUCAAGAAUAGCUGCCUUGUGGGAUAGGAAUUUAUCCAGGUCAGUUGUUCAUGUGGGAAUAGAGUCCCUUGGGCACUUGAGAUUCCUCGAGUCGCUUCCACCAUCAACCUCAGACUUUUGUUCAACCCAGUUGAUCUUCGUGGUCUUGUAACCUAGAUUUUGUAAUUUUGCUUGGAUAUUCUGUAUCAAGUAAGUGUCUACUAGCUAACAGAAAACCUGGGGCUGGUAUAAACAAAGACAUGUUUUCGGGAAAUUAU